rnacentral:lncRNA from 10 species
GGAAACCCGAGUUGGAAACAGUCAGCUGGGGAGGAGAGGGAGCAACUUAUUUGCUGAAUCUUUCCUGCUUUGUUUCUGCCUUUGGUCAAAGUCUUACCCUCAGGACAUCCAUAUCCCAGAAGGUUUUUUUGUUUGUUUGUUUAACCUGGCCAAUUCUCUAGGAAGCAUCCAGGGAAACCCAAGCUUUAUUGGCCAUAAGCCAGACACUGUGUAGGCAUAGGGGUCUCUUUCUGUCAGUUGGCACCAAGCAAAGGGUGCUUCAGUCUGCAGUGUUGGUAUCAGCAGUGGCUAUCAGAACUCUACAACUCUCGGAAUAGCUUCUGCUACAGCUGAUCUGGCCAAGAAACCAGGCAAGUGGCCAAGGCCUGAAGAGGCAUGGCUGAAUUGAUCUAGAGUGGCAGAGCAAGUCACCUUGGAAGAUAACUUUUUUGUUCAGAGAAGAAUCACUGGAAUGGUCCUUUUAAGAUCUGUGGGAAAAUCCUUAGGAAUUUCUACAUAAACUAUUGAUGGCAGUGGUGGCCCAUCUGGAGUGGCCACUGUGAAGAUGCCAGCUGCAAUAGGGAGGGCAUGACUGGGGCUGCACAUUCCAUGGAGCCAGCGGGAGCCAGGAACAGGUGGGAACCCUCUUCCAAGUUGGUGGGGUAGGAGCCCCAUGUUCCUGAGCACAGCUGCAGCCUCCCAGCCAUAGCUGUGUACCCGGGCAUCCCUAUGCUCUCAGGAGCCUGGGAAGACCCGCUGACAGGCUCAGAAUUGCCUGCUCCUGCUGCCUGCCCUCCCCCCACUGCCAGCGCCCACUCCAAUUUUAGAGCAAAGUUGAAGCCAAGCCCAGACAUUUGUUGCAACCCAGCUGGUGUCUGUAUGCUCAUCCUGCCCACGGCUGCCCACGGACCAAUCAGCACGCAGUUCCUCCCUUCUGAGACCAUAAAAAUCCCAGACACAGUCAGACUCACAGAGAUAACUGACUACCAGCUGUGAGAGGGAGCUACCCAAUUUGAGUCUCCUUAACCCAUCCGACCACGUGUUUGCAGAAAAAAGAGCUCUACCCACUCCGAGUCUCCUGUUUGCUGAGGGCUGCACUCCUCACGACAACCUGCCUGCAGAAAGGAGCUCUACCCACUCCGGGUCUCCUCUCUGCUGAGAGCUGGACACUCAUUGGGACGACCUGCCUACAGAUAGGUCAGGAUGACCUGCCUGCAGAUACCCACCCUGGGUCUCUUCUCCACCAAGGGCUGCGCUCAUCAGAAGGACCUGCCUGUGGAAAGAAACUACCCACUUCGGGUCUCUGAAGGGCUAUUCUAUCACUCACUGUCUCCCUUGCUUACUCUCCAGUUGUCUGCAUAUGUCAUUCUUUCUGGACAUGGGACAAAAACUUGGGACUCACUGAAUAGUGGGACUGAAAGAGCUGUAACACAAAGCAGGGCUGAAACCGCCACCCCGCCCCCCCCCCCCCACCUCCCCGUGACUGGUUACCACAUUGCAGGCAAUGAGAAAAAAAGGGCUGCUGCCCUUUAGGGGUCCCAGACCUAGGGGGUCCCCAAGCCAGGACUCUGACACCCUCUUUGGGGCUCUGCAGUUUCUGGCAUCUCCAAGCUUCUGGAUGUCACUGCAUUCCCCUUGUCCAGACAUGAGUGCCCACAGCAGAAGCUGCUUGCAGUGCAUCAGAUCCAGCCACAUGCAUGCAUGGAGCCGGCACCUUUGCCGGUGCCUGGAGCUACCUGCCCCGCCAUAGCAGCCUUCAUGCCUGGCUGUGCACAGUGGCUGGACCCUGCGCUCACUUGCACAUGCACCCCUCACCAUUCCAUUCCUGGUUUGCCCUUGGCAGGUGUCGAAUUUGGGCCCAUAACACAAGCCAAGUGCAGCCUGCCAGGCCAAGUAGAUGGAACAAGCCCAGCAGGCCUGAGCAAAACUCGGACAAAGAUGCCAACGGCCACAGAGGUUUCUGGCUAGAAAAGCAACACCUUAAGGAUCCCAAGACUAUCAUGUUAUCUGCCAAUAAAGACAGUUUUCCUUCUUUUCA